rnacentral:lncRNA from 1 species
AAUCCAACACCAUAAUCAGAAUUAACCUGUCAACACCAAAAGCUUCCUACUUCUUAUUGUCACAGGAUCUUUCACAUGUCACUUCACCAGCUGGAAACCUCUGUGGCUGGCAGUGCCUCUGCUUAAGUUUACUUGCACCCGCUGGGCUCGUUCCGCCCACUUGGCCCACCAGGUUGCCUCAGUUUGUACUACUGGCCCGGAUCCCUUGCCCUUCAAAGGCGUACCAGGCAUGGAGCAGCAAGGGGUGUAUGAGCGAACAAAGCGGUGUAUGAGCGAGUGAGUGCGCUGUUUGGCCAGAGCUCACAGCCAGGCAUGUUGGCAGCUGUGGAGGGCCAGACACCUCCAGGUGCCAGCACAGGUGCCGGCCCUGUGCGAGACUGUGGCUGGACUAGGCAUACCCCAAGUAGAUUCUGCUGCGGGUGCCAGCAUCUAGACAGAGGGAAUGCGGUGGUGUUUAAAAACUCAGUGACACCAGCAACCGUGAAGCCCCCAGGGCUGGAGAGGGCAUACUACAGCUCUCAUUCCUGCCGCCCAUAUAUCACCGAAUGGUGGGGGUAGGGGAGAUGUAUUUUCAGCUUGUUGAGCCCUGCAGCCUCGCUCCAGCCGAGGGCUCCCAGGCUGGCCUGGUCCCGCCAGUACUUCCUGUCGUGUGGAGCAGCUACCUGACAUUGGCGGAGGGAAAACAUAAAAGGGGAAAAGAUAUGUGCUGGUAUCAAAUAAGAGAAGACAAUUGUUUUACCAUUUUGCAGCAUACUAUGAAACAAAAGAAAACCAAUAAACCAACAAAGAUAUGACAUGGAAAAUGGCAUUAAGAAGAACAUGGCUUUGGAGGACAUGAUUGAGAAGUAGUAAAAGAUGGAAAAGAAAAGGAAGAAGUAGAAGAUCAAAACUGAAAGAAAAGUG